AUAAGAGUCACCUGGAAAUCUUGUUAAAAUGCUGAAUAUGAAUUAAUACUCAGGGAAGUACCUGGGACAUUGCAUUUUAAUAAGUUUUCAGGUGAUAGGUGA
rnacentral:miRNA from 1 species